UACGAAGGGGGCUAGCGUUGUUCGGAUUUACUGGGCGUAAAGCGCACGCAGGCGGCUAGACAAGUCAGAGGUGAAAUCCCAGGGCUCAACCCUGGAACUGCCUUUGAAACUGUCUGGCUAGAGUUCGGGAGAGGGUAGUGGAAUUCCUAGUGUAGCAGUGAAAUGCGUAGAUAUUAGGAGGAACACCGGUGGCGAAGGCGGCUACCUGGCCCGAUACUGACGCUCAUGUGCGAAAGCGUGGGGAGCAAACAGG
rnacentral:rRNA from 1 species